rnacentral:lncRNA from 1 species
GUUCAAAAAGAUAAGUGCGGUGUUUGUUGCCAAGGAUAUCAUGGAACAGCCAGUUUCUCUAAGUAAUGGAAUUCCAUUGCUCUUAUGUUUUGCAAAUGAGCAAUAAACAGCUGUUAAGGAUUUUCUGUUGGCAGGGGACAGUGUGUAUUUGCUAUUUUCUGUACUAUUACGGUAAAUUGUAUUCACAAUUUAGUAAGAAUAUAAAAUAAUAAUGAAGUUUCUUCAUAUGGGAAAGAAUGGAGCCACAGUAGCAGAACUAUGAAAAGAUAAGAAGCUGAGCUGUGAAAUGAUCCAGAGUUGCUUAAACUUUUUAUAUGAUGUAACAUAACUGGGAAAAGGUCUGGACAAUUUUGUGAGAACGGUGCAGUUUUGUUUGAACUGAACAUUUUCCCAUAAGCAUGCAUUUCCACAAAGCAUAUUUGAAAAGCUGACAUCCGUUUCUGAAGUGGUACAUAGUCACAUAAACCAAACAACUUCAUGAAAACCAAAACUUUGGCAAAUCAAAUACUCCAAAGUUAGGAAAUGUCCUGGUCUCUCUCUGCAAGCUUGGUUCAGUCUCCUUGAGUGUAGGCACUGUGGCUCAUACGGCAUUGGUCUGUAGAAGUCACCCUCACUAACGGCACAGGGCAGCUAACUUCCAUGGGCUCUGCAGCGUCUGCUCGCUGGUGCAAGGGACCUCGCUCCUUACUGCUUUUACUUGGUCUUUUCCCCCCACUUUUUUUACUCCCUCCUUACUGCUCCAUUUCUCCACAAGUUUAGCAUUUGGCAACGUUAGCACAGGCCAGACUAAGCGACUAAAUACCAUGAUGCUGGAUGCUGCGUGUUUGUGCGCGGUCCUCUCUACAGUUCACAUUACAUUUUCAUGUAAGAGGAAACCCCAGAAUGAAGACACUAGAGCAAUUAGUUGUACUUAUAACACACCAAGGGUAGCAGCAAACCGUGUGUUGACAACUCUUGCUGUGCUGACCACAAACUCAUUUUCAUAUUCACUCUUCUAACCUCUAAAUAUAUACGUAAGAGUGAUGAAAAUUUGGCACAUAGUUUGCCAAGAGUUGACUUUGGGUGCCUCCACAUCAGCAUCUGAGUUUGGAUUAGGCGUGUCCUGUUGAAGCAAGUCUCUGAAUGGUGCCCAGC